AUGAAAGAGGAUCGAUCUUUGAUACGAUGCCGUUUAAGGAAGGUAAGAAAUAGAAGCGUAACGACGGCACCAGGAAGCGGCACCUGUAUACUACCUUUGCGCUACGCCUACGCGGGUUAUUUUGUUUGUUGUGAAUCUCUGACAGAAGUUACUUGUGGACCAGCAAGGAUGAAAUCUGUAAGAAGGUGUCUAUUGCGUGGGACAUAA